rnacentral:rRNA from 1 species
UAACUGGAGGAAGGUGGGGAUGACGUCAAAUCAUCAUGCCCCUUAUGACCUGGGCUACACACGUGCUACAAUGGGCAGAACAAAGGGCAGCGAAGCCGCGAGGCUAAGCCAAUCCCACAAAUCUGUUCUCAGUUCGGAUCGCAGUCUGCAACUCGACUGCGUGAAGCUGGAAUCGCUAGUAAUCGCGGAUCAGCAUGCCGCGGUGAAUACGUUCCCGGGCCUUGUACACACCGCCCGUCACACCACGAGAGUUUGUAACACCCGAAGUCGGUGAGGUAACCUUUUGGAGCCAACCGCCGAAGGGGGAACAAAAAAAUAGGAGAAAGUAAUAGUUAGUCAAC